rnacentral:rRNA from 1 species
CAGCAGCCGCGGUAAUACGAAGGGGGCUAGCGUUGUUCGGAAUUACUGGGCGUAAAGCGCGUGUAGGCGGGUCCUUAAGUCAGGGGUGAAAUGCCAAGGCUCAACCUUGGGACUGCCUUUGAUACUGGGGAUCUUGAGUCCGGGAGAGGUGAGUGGAACUGCGAGUGUAGAGGUGAAAUUCGUAGAUAUUCGCAAGAACACCAGUGGCGAAGGCGGCUCACUGGCCCGGAACUGACGCUGAGACGCGAAAGCGUGGGGAGCAAACAGGAUUAGAUACCCCCGUAGUCCCUGUCUCUUAUAC